UCCUGAUUGGCUGCGGGAGGGUGUUCCGCACUGUGAAUGGCUGUCUGCCUUGCCAGUCAAAGGGGAGGGGCCCAUGGGCUGCAGCAGCAUGUCUCGCAAGCUAAGCAGGGUCAGGCCUUAGCAGGGCGUGGAUGGGAGACUUCCCCGGGCAGCCUCCAAGCAGCAGUGCCGUGUGCACCCGGAGGGGGGGUCGUCUGUGGGUAGGGAGCUGCUGGUGAUGUCAGUGCCCUAGGAUGAGAGCUGUGGUGGUGCCCCUGCUGGUGCUUGGGUACUGCCACCAUUAGCUAUGGUGCCUGGGAAAGGGGGGCUGAGCAGUCGUGGUCACUGAUGAUCCUGUGGUGCUUUGCACCAGAGUUAAAUCUAGGGCUCUGGCCAGGUUUCAGCUGGGAUAUAUGGAUAUUGAAUACAUGCCUUGAAGACUCACCCAAACACUCUUCCCCAACAAACAAAGAACUCUGAAAGAGAAAAGACCAAAGAGGAAGAAAAUGAAAAAUUCUGGAACUUCAGCUGAGCGGUUUAAUUGUUGGAGAUGUCUCCUGCUCAUAUUACACUAACAUGCCCACAACUCAUUUAUCUCGUUACUCGAGCUGCCCACAGUUCAUGUGAUCAAACAACAAAUUGAGGUGGAGAGAAGCAUUUUGAAAUUCAGCCUUAAUAUACCACCUAUCACGCAACUGUUUGCUAAAUGGACUUGCAAAACAAUUUGGGGAGUUCUUUCUCCCCUCAGUGCCCUAUUCCCCAUCAAAGGGCCUUUGUGUUUUUGUUACAAGACUGAAAAAAUCCAAGUCUAACUUUAUUGUUAGCAAUAGUGCUGCCUGUUUGGUUUUUAAGGGUAGGAAGGAGGUGAACUGAGGCAUCUCUGAUUUGCUGGUGUAACAGUGCUGUAAAAUACCAACUGAGCCUAUUUCAAAGAGUC